ACUUUAAUUGAAGAGUUUGAUCAUGGCUCAGAUUGAACGCUGGCGGCAGGCCUAACACAUGCAAGUCGAGCGGUAACAUUUCAAAAGCUUGCUUUUGAAGAUGACGAGCGGCGGACGGGUGAGUAAUGCCUGGGAAUUUGCCCAUUUGUGGGGGAUAACAGUU
rnacentral:rRNA from 1 species